UGAAGCUGAAAGAGUUUAUUGUGACACCUGUCUGUUUGUAUUCCACUCUGCUUUUUUCCUCGGAAUUUUAUUUUAUUUUCUAGGUGGAUGACAAUUUCAAUUUUGUCUCCAUGCCUGUUUCUUCAGUGUCUUUUCAGAUUCCAUCCCACGGAAUUUGCCAGUACCAUCACCACUUUCCUCAAAACCCUCAUUUGCCUAAAGCUCUAAACCCUUUUUUCCAGUCUCCAUCUUCUUGAAACCCUACCAAGCUACUACUGCUGGUACCAAUGGCGAUUUCUGUAUUUCUCAAGCCUUUUACUCUCCGUGCUCAGCUUCCCAGUUCUCUUUCUCUUUGUGGAUCAGUGUUCAGGAAUGUUAACCACCCACGGACUCGUUCACUAUUAAGCACACAAUUCAGAAGUUUGGGUAGUAGAGCAUACUGCUCAAAAGCAGAUCACAGUGAUCCAGUUGCGCAGAACCAAACCAAGUCCAACCUGACAAAGGUAGCUUUCAAGUAUGUACGCACGAAUGAAGAGUCUCAAGAAGACAGUAGGCCCAGCAAGGCAAUAAUAAGAAAAGUACUUGAGACUCCCAGUGGGCAUACAUACUUUGAAUGCAGAAACGGUGAUGACGUGGGCUAUUGUAACUUGAACCAGUUUUUGCAAUCAUAUCUCAUGCGAGCUAAGGUGGAUUCAGAGUGGGCAAAGAGUAUCAGAUAUUAGUUUUGUAGAAGCUUCGCUUUUCAAAGAGCGUAUAAGAAGUAUCAUGGAUAGUGCAGCUGAAGCUUUUAAAGCGAACUGCAUGAUUGAUAAUAUUGGGAAAACUAAAGCCUCUUUUCCAAAGCGCAAAUGCCCUCUCAGACUCGAAAUGAUUCUUGAUGAUGUAUUUAACAUUCGUGUUUGGGAAAUAUUAACAGAGGGUGAUAAGCAAGUGCUGGAUAUCAUUGUGUCCGAGCUAAAGAGAAAUGGAUUUGACUUCACAAAAGAUCCAGUAACACUCCAGAAAAUUGAAGAAGCAGUUGAGAGGACAGUGACACGAAUGACAAAUAAGAUCAAGCUUGAUAUGCCAGUUCCUGCUGGUGAACCUGAGAUGAGUGCGCUUAUCAGUUGGGGCAAAUAUUCUGGUCCACCUGCAUUGGAACUUUUCAUUUUGGUCCCAACUAAAAUAGCCAUCCGCCUACGUGAUCCUCUUAAUUGUUCUUGUUCUAAAUAGAAGAAAUGGAUCGGUUAGCCUGUGAAAACUUGAAUUCCGACUACUAUUUCUGUUUUUUGUUUAUUGAGCUUGUCCUCUAGUAGA